UCUGAAUCUGCGUACGGCUCCGCAAACCAGUUGUAAACUAUAGCAAGCAAGCUCAGGGCUGGCCUUCACUGGCCGGCUCGGGGCGAUAUGGAUAACCCUGGUAAUUCUGAGGCUAAUACAAGAGUGUAAACCUUGGAGGACCGGCUUCGGCUGGGAAUCUGGGGGAUGUGCGAUUGCAGGCUUGGUAACACCGGGAAAGGGCGCACGUUCAGAUCACGCUAAAAAGGUCGGGCUCCUUCGGGGGCCUGCCCCAGUGACUCUUGCUGUGUGCUUCUGACCUAUCAACUAGACGGCAGCGUAAGGGACAUGCUAUGGU
rnacentral:rRNA from 2 species